GACGAACGCUGGCGGCGUGCUUAACACAUGCAAGUCGAACGGAAAGGCCCCUUUGGGGGUACUCGAGUGGCGAACGGGUGAGUAACACGUGAGUAACCUGCCCUUGACUUCGGGAUAACUUCAGGAAACUGGGGCUAAUACCGGAUAGGAAUCCUUGCUGCAUGGUGGGGGUUGGAAAGCUUCGGCGGUUUUGGAUGGACUCGCGGCUUAUCAGCUUGUUGGUGGGGUAGUGGCUUACCAAGGCUUUGACGGGUAGCCGGCCUGAGAGGGCGACCGGCCACAUUGGGACUGAGAUACGGCCCAGACUCCUACGGGAGGCAGCAGUGGGGAAUAUUGCACAAUGGGCGGAAGCCUGAUGCAGCAACGCCGCGGGCGGGAUGACGGCCUUCGGGUUGUAAACCGUUUUCAGCAGGGGCGAAGCUUGUGGUGACGGUACCUGCAGAAGAAGCACCGGCUAACUACGUG
rnacentral:rRNA from 1 species